UAGUAUGUGUCUCUUUCAAUUUUCAUAUUAAAGAUGAGAUAAGGGUUUUCAUUUUUUAUUUUUUAUUUUUUUUGUUACAAGGAAGUAGUAAAAAAUAAAGAAAUACAACUAGAGUUUUUGUUUCUCUUAUAUUUUGUUAUGAAUUUGCAAAAGUCAUCAAAAUUCCCUAACUUGGAAAAGAAAAAGUUUAUCUUUGCUUACCUUUGUUUUCAUUUCUUUUGGAAAAUAGUGCUUUUGCCAGAUUUGUGUGCUUAUUUAUUAGAUCUUCAAUUCCUUUCCUUUCUAUGACUCUAUUGAAGACAGUGACACCUCUCUCUUCACUCAUUUUUUCUUCUUUCUCCUUUCAUUUCCUUUGCUUUCUUCUUUUAUCAUCUUGUUUAUUUAAUUUGCACUAUGUUUAUUAUUUGAUUUAAUUAACUUACUCAUUUUCUCUUUUUAGUUCAUUUCUAUUUAUUUAUACCCUUUUUGUCUUUACUAUUGUGGUUCUCAUUCUUUCAGUAGUAUCAUCCUUUUGUUGAAGCUUAAUUUGGAUUCAUGAUGGGAUCUUUCACUUUAUGAGAAUAUGGUACCCAUUUUUCACCAACGUGUAAUAUUAUCAACAAACCAUACUUAUAAACAUUGGGUGAGACGAUUCUACGGUUUGAAGCAUAGUUUCUUUUUCUGGAGAUAAUUGAAAGGUUGAGUAAACAUGAUGAUAUGAUGGCCGAUGGAAACAAACAUGAAGUGGCUGAAUUACGCAAUUGGAACAGGAAACUCUGCCUUUUCGUGUAGCAAUAAGCUAUAGAGGUUGUAACUUUGAGCUAUAAAGUUCUACACUUUUUGUUUAACAUUCGUAACCUUUAUCAUUCCCUCCAUAUAUAUUUCCUGCACCA